CACGGGGGGAGCAAGCGUUGUUCGGAAUCACUGGGCGUAAAGCGCACGUAGGCGGCUUUCUAAGUCAGGGGUGAAAUCCUGGAGCUCAACUCCAGAACUGCCUUUGAUACUGGAGAGCUUGAGUCCGGAAGAGGUGAGUGGAACUCCGAGUGUAGAGGUGAAAUUCGUAGAUAUUCGGAAGAACACCAGUGGCGAAGGCGGCUCACUGGUCCGGUACUGACGCUGAGGUGCGAAAGCGUGGGGAGCAAACAGG
rnacentral:rRNA from 1 species